CAGCNUCCUGGGAUAACACUGACGUUCAUGCCCGAAAGCGUGGGUAGCAAACAGGAUUAGAUACCCUGGUAGUNCACGCCCUAAACGAUGUCGAUUAGCUGUUGGGCAGCAUGACUGCUUAGUAGCGUAGCUAACGCGUGAAAUCGACCGCCUGGGGAGUACGGUCGCAAGAUUAAAACUCAAAGGAAUUGACGGGGACCCGCACAAGCGGUGGAUGAUGUGGAUUAAUUCGAUGCAACGCGAAGAACCUUACCUGGUCUUGACAUGUACGGAACCCUCCAGAGACGGAGGGGUGCCUUCGGGAGCCGUAACACAGGUGCUGCAUGGCUGUCGUCAGCUCGUGUCGUGAGAUGUUGGGUUAAGUCCCGCAACGAGCGCAACCCUUGUCAUUAGUUGCCAUCAUUAAGUUGGGCACUCUAAUGAGACUGCCGGUGACAAGCCGGAGGAAGGUGGGGAUGACGUCAAGUCCUCAUGGCCCUUAUGACCAGGGCUUCACACGUCAUACAUUGGUCGGUACAGAGGGUAGCCAAGCCGCGAGGUGGAGCCAAUCUCACAAAACCGAUCGUAGUCCGGAU
rnacentral:rRNA from 1 species